rnacentral:hammerhead_ribozyme from 1 species
AUCUAGCUGACAUAUCCUGAAUAAGAUGAAACGCGCGUCUUGGAU